GACGAACGCUGGCGGCGUGCUUAACACAUGCAAGUCGAACGAAGUGGCGAACGUGUGAGUUACGCGUAUUCAACCUGCCCUUGAGAGGGGUCCAACAGCUGGAAACGACUGCUAAUACCUCAUAAGCAAGGUGGGGAUUUCGUCUGCUUAGCUGGUUGGAGGGGUAACGGCCCACCAAGGCGAUGAUCAGUAGCCGGUCUGAGAGGAUGAACGGCCACAUUGGGACUGAGACACGGCCCAGACUCCUACGGGAGGCAGCAGGGGGGAAUCUUCCGAAAUGGACGAAAGUCUGACGGAGCAACGCCGCGUGAGUGAUGACGGCCUUCGGGUUGUAAAGCUCUGUUAAUCGGGACGCGGUACCGGAAUAGAAAGCCACGGCUAACUACGUGCCAGCAGCCGCGGUAAUUC
rnacentral:rRNA from 1 species